CCUACGGGGGGCAGCAGUCGAGAAUCAUUCACAAUGGGGGAAACCCUGAUGGUGCGACGCCGCGUGGGGGAAUGAAGGUCUUCGGAUUGUAAACCCCUGUCAUGUGGGAGCAAAUUAAAAAGAUAGUACCACAAGAGGAAGAGACGGCUAACUCUGUGCGAGCAGCCGCGGUAAUACAGAGGUCUCAAGCGUUGUUCGGAAUCACUGGGCGUAAAGCGUGCGUAGGCUGUUUCGUAAGUCGUGUGUGAAAGGCGCGGGCUCAACCCGCGGACGGCACAUGAUACUGUGAGACUAGUGUGAUGGAGGGGGAACCGGAAGUCUCGGGGGAGCAGUGAAAUGCGUAGAUAU
rnacentral:rRNA from 1 species